GACGUCACAAGGUAGCGCGUAACGGGGCCCGCUGGGGCAGACAACGCCGGGGUUACAGGCCGGCUCUGCGGGGAUUCUACGGAGGGUCGGGCCUCCUCCAGUAAGAAGCGUGGGCGAGUAGUGGUGUCGCCAGUGGCAACUGAAGGGAGUAAUGGAGAUAAAACAAAAGCGAAGGCGAAGUUAAAGCACUCCACGAGUUCCCUCGGAUUAAACGCCGGAGAGAGCGUGAAUUUGCCUCGGGGACGCCUCUCCAGGAACCCGAAGCCGCAAAGCUGAUGGCAUCCUUCUUCCCUGUCCAGGAAAGCGAAGCGACUGGUUUGGGAACAGAAUGCUCUGAUUUGGAGCUCCUCCCAUCCCAUUAAAGCCUGGAUGCUGUCUGAAUGUCGGAUUGCACAUCCUAUUGUAAAAUGUACUUACUGCAGAUCAGAAUUUCAACAAGAGAGCAAAACUAACACAAUUUGUAAGAAGUGUGCUCAAAAUGUGAAGCAAUUUGGGACGCCCAAGCCUUGUCAGUACUGUAACAUAAUUGCAGCAUUUAUUGGUACCAAGUGUCAGCGUUGCACAAAUUCAGAAAAAAAGUAUGGACCACC
rnacentral:lncRNA from 1 species